GAUGAACGCUGGCGGCGUGCCCAAUACAUGCAAGUCGAGCGAACGGACGAGAAGCUUGCUUUUCUGAUGUUAGCGGCGGACGGGUGAGUAACACGUGGAUAACCUACCUAUAAGACUGGGAUAACUUCGGGAAACCGGAGCUAAUACCGGAUAAUAUUUUGAACCGCAUGGUUCAAAAGUGAAAGACGGUCUUGCUGUCACUUAUAGAUGGAUCCGCGCUGCAUUAGCUAGUUGGUAAGGUAACGGCUUACCAAGGCAACGAUGCAUAGCCGACCUGAGAGGGUGAUCGGCCACACUGGAACUGAGACACGGUCCAGACUCCUACGGGAGGCAGCAGUAGGGAAUCUUCCGCAAAGGGCGAAAGCCUGACGGAGCAACGCCGCGUGAGUGAUGAAGGUCUUCGGAUCGUAAAACUCUGUUAUUAGGGAAGAACAUAUGUGUAAGUAACUGUGCACAUCUUGACGGUACCUAAUCAGAAAGCCACGGCUAACUACGUG
rnacentral:rRNA from 1 species